rfam:Salmo salar isolate Sally breed double haploid chromosome ssa28, whole genome shotgun sequence.
UGCAUUCACUACUGUAAGUCGCUCUGGAUAAGAGUGUCUGCUACAUGACAAAAA